GCUGGGUAUGGUGAUACACGCCUGUAAUCCCAGCAAUCUGGGAGGCUGAUGCAGGAGGAUCACAAGUUUGAAGCCAGAUUUAGCAACUUAGUGAGGCCCUUAAGCAACUAGUGAGACCCUGUCUCAA
rnacentral:sRNA from 1 species